rnacentral:rRNA from 1 species
AAGGCUCCGGCGCUCUGGGAGGGGCUUGCGGCCCAUCAGCUAGUUGGUAGGGUAAAGGCCUACCAAGGCGAAGACGGGUAGGGGGUGUGAGAGCACGACCCCCCACAAUGGGACUGAAACACGGNCCAUACUCCUACGGGAGGCAGCAGCAGGGAAUAUUGCACAAUGGGCGAAAGCCUGAUGCAGCGACGCCGCGUGAGUGAAGAAGGCCUUCGGGUCGUAAAGCUCUUUUGUAGGGGAAGAGGAAGGACGGUACCCUGAGAAAAAGCGUCGGCUAACUACGUGCCAGCAGCCGCGGUAAGACGUAGGACGCGAGCGUUAUCCGGAAUUACUGGGCGUAAAGGGCCAGCAGGCGGCUAGGUAAGUUGUGCGUGAAAGCCUCGUGCUCAACGCGAGGAAGCCGGACAAUACUGUCUAGCUGGAGGGCAUCAGAGGGGAGUGGAAUUCCCGGAGUAGCGGUAAAAUGCGCAGAUAUCGGGAGGAACACCAAUGGCGAAGGCAACUCCCUGGGGUGUACCUGACGCUAAGUGGCGAAAGCUAGGGGAGCGAACAGGAUUAGAGACCCUGGUAGUCCUAGCUGUAAACGCUGGGUGCUACGUGUGGGGCGUAGAAGCUCUGUGCC